rnacentral:rRNA from 1 species
UGUAAGCGUAUACCAAAGUUGUUGCAGUUAAAACGCUCGUAGUCGGAAUUUGGCAGUUCCGGAUGUGUGCACGUCGUGUGCGCACUUCGCGGGGAUUGCUUUUGUGGUCUUGCGUAGGAUGAGGCACUUUUAUUAGUGAACGUCCUCACGCAACCACUUUUUACUGUGAGAAAAUCAGAGUGCUCAAAGCAGGCAUUUGCCGUGAAUGUAUUAGCACGGAAUAAUAGAAUAGGACUUGGUCCUAUUUUGUUGGUUUGUUGGGACUGAGUAAUGAUUAAGAGGGACAGUUGGGGGCAUUUGUAUUUCGGUGCUAGAGGUGAAAUUCUUAGAUUACCGAAAGACAAACUGCUGCGAAAGCGUCUGCCAAGGAUGUUUUCAUUGA